AUACGGAGGGUGCAAGCGUUAUUCGGAAUCACUGGGCGUAAAGGACACGUAGGCGGGAAGCCAAGUCUGAUGUGAAAUCCUAUGGCUUAACCAUAGAACUGCAUUGGAAACUGGUUACCUAGAGUAUGGGAGGGGGAGAUGGAAUUAGUGGUGUAGGGGUAAAAUCCGUAGAUAUCACUAGGAAUACCUAAAGCGAAGGCGAUCUCCUGGAACAUAACUGACGCUAAGGUGUGAAAGCGUGGGGAGCAAACGGGAUUAGAAACCCUAGUAGUCC
rnacentral:rRNA from 1 species